CACGUAGGGCGCAAGCGUUGUCCGGAAUUAUUGGGCGUAAAGAGCUCGUAGGCGGCUUGUCGCGUCGGCUGUGAAAACCUGGGGCUCAACCCCGGGCCUGCAGCCGAUACGGGCAGGCUAGAGUUCGGUAGGGGAGACUGGAAUUCCUGGUGUAGCGGUGAAAUGCGCAGAUAUCAGGAGGAACACCGGUGGCGAAGGCGGGUCUCUGGGCCGAUACUGACGCUGAGGAGCGAAAGCGUGGGGAGCGAACAGG
rnacentral:rRNA from 1 species